rnacentral:rRNA from 1 species
UACGUAGGGUGCGAGCGUUAAUCGGAAUUACUGGGCGUAAAGCGUGCGCAGGCGGCGCGUUAAGACAGGUGUGAAAGCCCCGAGCUUACUUGGGAAUUGCGCUUGUGACUGGCGAGCUGGAGUGUGGCAGAGGGAGGUGGAAUUCCACGUGUAGCAGUGAAAUGCGUAGAGAUGUGGAGGAACACCGAUGGCGAAGGCAGCCUCCUGGGCCAGCACUGACGCUCAUGCACGAAAGCGUGGGGAGCAACAGG